rnacentral:tmRNA from 1 species
GGGGGUGUACUGGUUUCGACGGGGGUAGGUGACGUAUGAUAAGCGAGCCGUGGUUCCAUCAGCACGUAAAACGGUGGAAACGUUUAAAUAUAAACGCUAACAAAGAAUUCGCACUGGCUGCCUAAGGGCGGUCCCGCUCACUGAGUUUCUCCUAUAGGCGAGGCUGGGCGGUCACUAUAUAGGAUACCUUGUGUGCUUCUCCCGUGGCACGUUAGGGAAAUUUUAGGGAUAGCAACCUGAGGGCCCGUCGCUAGGCACUUGGGAAGUGAAAUAAAAUAUGGCGUCUGCGCUCGGAGAAAGUUGUAUGGCAAUAUUUUCGGACAGGGGUUCGACUCC